UUUUAUUUAUAUUUUUUCAUUUUGAGUUUGGUUCAGUUCGGUUUAAUCUUAAAAUUCGAACGGAUUCAAAAUUAGAAAUAGACCAGUCUUUUUUUUAUUUUUUUUUAUUUCAGUUUGAGUAAACUGGACUGGGUUUGCCCGUUAAAACAAAGGGAAAUAAUAAUAAUAAUAAUAAUAAGAACCCAAGCAAUCCUUAAUACACCCGGUCCUAACCUUAAGCUGUCACUUCCGUUUAGGUGUGUUGGCAACUUCUUAUCGUUACUUGAGCCAAUUUGCUUCUUCGUUCCAUGCUUCCAACUGCUGUUGCUUCCUCUCUGCCUCCUUCUUCUUUCGCCGUUGUCAACUGCACAAGGUCAGGUUAUACGUACGUGGCGCAUGAAUGGGACAGUUGUAUUGUAAUUUGUAUAAAGUUUGUUUGUGUUUUGUAAUUCAAUUGAGGCAAUAAACAAUAGCUGAUAUUUAUAUUGUAAUUUGUAUGAUGGUUGUUUGUAUUUUUAAAAAAGACUUGUUCAGGAGGAUGAUGCUUGAUAGUUGAUUAAUAGUAUUUGUUUUUG
rnacentral:lncRNA from 1 species